rnacentral:rRNA from 1 species
CAAAGGAGUGAUCCGGCAGAGGAUGGACAUGCGGCGCAUUAGCUAGUCGGCGGGGUAACGGCCCACCGAGGCUACGAUGCGUAGGGGUUCUGAGAGGAAGGUCCCCCACACUGGUACUGAGACACGGACCAGACUCCUACGGGAGGCAGCAGUGAGGAAUAUUGGUCAAUGGGCGGAAGCCUGAACCAGCCAAGUCGCGUGAGGGAAGACGGUCCUAUGGAUUGUAAACCUCUUUUGCAGGGGAGCAAGGCGCGGUACGUGUACCGCGAAGGAGAGUACCCUGAGAAAAAGCAUCGGCUAACUCCGUGUCAGCAGCCGCGGUAAUACGGAGGAUGCGAGCGUUAUCCGGAUUUAUUGGGUUUAAAGGGUGCGCAGGCGGACUGUUAAGUCAGCGGUAAAAUGUCGGUGCUCAACACCGGCCGGCCGUUGAAACUGGCAGCCUUGAGUGAGCGAGAAGUAUGCGGAAUGCGUGGUGUAGCGGUGAAAUGCAUAGAUAUCACGCAGAACUCCGAUUGCGAAGGCAGCAUACCGGCGCUCAACUGACGCUCAGGCACGAAAGCGUGGGUAUCGAACAGGCUUAGAUACCCUGGUAGUCCACGCAGUAAACGAUGAAUGCUCACUGUCCGGGCCGUUUAAGGCCUGG